CGCGGCAAGACGGAAAGACCCCGUGAACCUUUACUAUAGCUUGACACUGAACAUUGAGCCUUGAUGUGUAGGAUAGGUGGGAGGCUUUGAAGUGUGGACGCCAGUCUGCAUGGAGCCGACCUUGAAAUACCACCCUUUAAUGUUUGAUGUUCUAACGUGGACCCGUGAUCCGGGUUGCGGACAGUGUCUGGUGGGUAGUUUGACUGGGGCGGUCUCCUCCUAAAGAGUAACGGAGGAGCACGAAGGUUGGCUAAUCCUGGUCGGACAUCAGGAGGUUAGUGCAAUGGCAUAAGCCAGCUUGACUGCGAGCGUGACGGCGCGAGCAGGUGCGAAAGCAGGUCAUAGUGAUCCGGUGGUUCUGAAUGGAAGGGCCAUCGCUCAACGGAUAAAAGGUACUCCGGGGAUAACAGGCUGAUACCGCCCAAGAGUUCAUAUCGACGGCGGUGUUUGGCACCUCGAUGUCGGCUCAUCACAUCCUGGGGCUGAAGUAGGUCCCAAGGGUAUGGCUGUUCGCCAUUUAAAGUGGUACGCGAGCUGGGUUUAGAACGUCGUGAGACAGUUCGGUCCCUAUCUGCCGUGGGCGCUGGAGAACUGAGGGGGGCUGCUCCUAGUACGAGAGGACCGGAGUGGACGCAUCACUGGUGUUCGGGUUGUCAUGCCAAUGGCACUGCCCGGUAGCUAAAUGCGGAAGAGAUAAGUGCUGAAAGCAUCUAAGCACGAAACUUGCCCCGA
rnacentral:rRNA from 3 species